rnacentral:rRNA from 1 species
AACGAACGCUGGCGGCAUGCCUAACACAUGCAAGUCGAACGAGACCUUCGGGUCUAGUGGCGCACGGGUGCGUAACGCGUGGGAACCUGCCCUUAGGUUCGGAAUAACUCCCCGAAAGGGGUGCUAAUACCGGAUAAUGUCUUCGGACCAAAGAUUUAUCGCCUUUAGAUGGGCCCGCGUUGGAUUAGCUAGUUGGUAGGGUAAAAGCCUACCAAGGCGACGAUCCAUAGCUGGUCUGAGAGGAUGAUCAGCCACACUGGGACUGAGACACGGCCCAGACUCCUACGGGAGGCAGCAGUGGGGAAUAUUGGACAAUGGGCGAAAGCCUGAUCCAGCAAUGCCGCGUGAGUGAUGAAGUCCUUAGGGUUGUAAAGCUCUUUUACCCGGGAUGAUAAUGACAGUACCGGGAGAAUAAGCUCCGGCUAACUCCGUG